rnacentral:rRNA from 1 species
UAUGAUUUGAUACCCUGGUAGUCCACGCCGUAAACGAUGUCUACUUGGAGGUUGUGGCCUUGAGCCGUGGCUUUCGGAGCUAACGCGUUAAGUAGACCGCCUGGGGAGUACGGUCGCAAGAUUAAAACUCAAAUGAAUUGACGGGGGCCCGCACAASCGGUGGAGCAUGUGGUUUAAUUCGAUGCAACGCGAAGAACCUUACCUACUCUUGACAUCCAGAGAAGCCAGCGGAGACGCAGGUGUGCCUUCGGGAACUCUGAGACAGGUGCUGCAUGGCUGUCGUCAGCUCGUGUCGUGAGAUGUUGGGUUAAGUAAG